rnacentral:rRNA from 1 species
ACAUGCAGUUCGAACGAAGCCUUCGGGCUUAGUUGGCGCACGGGUGCGUAACGCGNNCCNUNUCUGCCCUUAGGAUACGGAAUAACAGUGAGAAAUUACUGCUAAUACCGUAUGAUGUCGCGAGACCAAAGAUUUAUCGCCUAGGGAUGAGCCCGCGUUGGAUUAGCUAGUUGGUAGGGUAAAAGCCUACCAAGGCAACGAUCGGUAGCCGGCCUGAGAGGGCACACGGCCACACUGGCACUGAAACACGGGCCAGACUCCUACGGGAGGCAGCAGUGGGGAAUCUUGCACAAUGGGGGCAACCCUGAUGCAGCGACGCCGCGUGAGCGAUGAAGCCCUUCGGGGUGUAAAGCUCUUUCGGCAGGGAAGAUUAUGACGGUACCUGCAGAAGCAGCUGCGGCUAACUACGUGCCAGCAGCCGCGGUAAUACGUANGCAGCAAGCGUUGUUCGGAGUUACUGGGCGUAAAGGGUGUGUAGGCGGCCUUCUAAGUUUGGUGUGAAAUCUCCCGGCUCAACCGGGAGGGUGCGCCGAAGACUGGNGGGCUAGAGUAUNGNAUGGGAGAGUANAAUUUCCGGUGUUNCGNUGAAAUGCGUAUAUUUCNGAAGGAAUACUCUGUUGGUGGUAGACNGCNUCUCCUNGGACCAUAAUUGAC